GUGCUUGCUUCGGCAGCACAUAUACUAAAAUUGGAAUGAUACAGAGACGAUUAACAUGGCCCCUGCGCAAGGAUGACACGUAAAAACUUCUUACUAUGCUUAAUUUAU
ensembl:snRNA U6 U6 spliceosomal RNA